GUCAACUGCAAUUAAUAACAAAUCAAUAUCUUUUCUGGUUUUCUAGUUUGACUUCCUUGUUAAAGAUUCAAUUAGAUACCAAAAUGAGGUUGAAGUUGAACUUCCUGUGUUCAAGGCAAUUCAGCAGUUCCGAACUGGAAAAAAUGGCGGCGAUGAUCUUUUUGACAAGCUGGAUACCAAUAAACUGAAUGCUCAUCUGAAGGAACUCAUGACUGGUCUCACAACAAAGGUUUUCCGUAAAUAUAAUGCAUCGAUAACUUUGGAUGAGAUGGUAAGAGGCAAGCUGGGAUUUUUCACACCUUGAAGUUAGUAUUUUUCCUGUGAAUAUGAAUUUACUAUGUUAACCAAACUUUUGGUACACAUGGGAGUGUUUGUGUUGGUGUUUGGAUUGUCUGACCAUCAACUUUUGGUACACAUGGGAAUAUGGGACCCGGCCAAAUAGUUGUACUGGUGCUUAUUUGAAAGGUGGUACUAGGGUGAAGUAAUAAAAAAUUAAUAAAUGUAGGCUAUCUAA